rnacentral:rRNA from 1 species
UUCGCCCUUAGAGUUUGAUCCUGGCUCAGGACGAACGCUGGCGGCGUGCUUAACACAUGCAAGUCGAACGGGGUGCCUAUGAAAGAGAUUUCGGUCAAUGGAUUAGGUUACUUAGUGGCGGACGGGUGAGUAACGCGUGAGGAACCUGCCUUUCAGAGGGGGGACAACAGCUGGAAACGGCUGCUAAUACCGCAUGACACAUAUUUAUCGCAUGGUAGAUAUGUCAAAGAUUUAUCGCUGAGAGAUGGCCUCGCGUCUGAUUAGCUAGUUGGUAGGGUAACGGCCUACCAAGGCGACGAUCAGUAGCCGGACUGAGAGGUUGGCCGGCCACAUUGGGACUGAGAUACGGCCCAGACUCCUACGGGAGGCAGCAGUGGGGAAUAUUGGGCAAUGGGCGCAAGCCUGACCCAGCAAUGCCGCGUGAAGGAAGAAGGCUUUCGGGUUGUAAACUUCUUUUAAGAGGGAAGAGCAGAAGACGGUACCUCUUGAAUAAGCCACGGCUAACUACGUGCCAGCAGCCGCGGUAAUACGUAGGUGGCAAGCGUUGUCCGGAUUUACUGGGUGUAAAGGGCGUGUAGCCGGGCUGACAAGUCAGAUGUGAAAUCCCGUGGCUCAACCACGGAACUGCAUUUGAAACUGUCGGUCUUGAGUAUCGGAGAGGCAGGCGGAAUUCCUAGUGUAGCGGUGAAAUGCGUAGAUAUUAGGAGGAACACCAGUGGCGAAGGCGGCCUGCUGGACGACAACUGACGGUGAGGCGCGAAAGCGUGGGGAGCAAACAGGAUUAGAUACCCUGGUAGUCCACGCUGUAAACGAUGGAUACUAGGUGUGCGGGGGACUGACCCCCUGCGUGCCGCAGCUAACGCAAUAAGUAUCCCACCUGGGGAGUACGAUCGCAAGGUUGAAACUCAGAGGAAUUGACGGGGGCCCGCACAAGCGGUGGAUUAUGUGGUUUAAUUCGAAGCAACGCGAAGAACCUUACCAGGGUUUGACAUCCUGCUAACGAAGUAGAGAUACAUUAGGUGCCCUUCGGGGAAAGCAGAGACAGGUGGUGCAUGGUUGUCGUCAGCUCGUGUCGUGAGAUGUUGGGUUAAGUCCCGCAACGAGCGCAACCCUUAUUCUUAGUAGCCAGCAGGUAAGGCUGGGCACUCUAAGGAGACUGCCAGGGAUAACCUGGAGGAAGGUGGGGAUGACGUCAAAUCAUCAUGCCCCUUAUGAUUUGGGCUACACACGUGCUACAAUGGCGUAAACAAAGGGAGGCGAAGCCGCGAGGCCGAGCGAACCUCAAAAAUAACGUCUCAGUUCGGAUUGCAGGCUGCAACCCGCCUGCAUGAAGCCGGAAUCGCUAGUAAUCGCGGAUCAGAAUGCCGCGGUGAAUACGUUCCCGGGUCUUGCACUCACCGCCCGUCA